CACACUCAAAUGCACAGCGUUCAGACGUGCUCAAUGGGAUGUUCAGUGCUUUCACUCACUCACUCACGCACAGCCACGCACACAGAGAGACACGCGCGCGGCGAAUUAAUAAUUACACAGCUCGCACAUGAUAUAUCGAAAUCAAUAAUGGUUUUAUUUUUCUGGUAAUUACGGUCGGGUAGUUUUUAUUUAUUUAUGUAAGCAUUAUAUUGUGCAGUUCUGUGUAUGCUCUCAGCGUGAUGAGCUCUUUUUUGGGGGAGACCGGGCUGAGCGACGUUUCGGCGUGCGAGUCUAUUUCUCGGAUGAACGAGCGACUUCUGGAUUUAUCUUGUCACGUUUCGGCCCUUGGGAAGUUCACGGAUGAUUUCAAUUCGCCGCUGAAGACCCUCUCGGAUUGUACUUCACGCAUCGUCACCACCGAGCGACUCCGGCUCCGGGGAGAUCGUCUCGAAGCGCCGUGGCCUCAACGCCCACCGGAUUAACUUGCAAAUCGUUCAACCAAUAAAACCAAUCAACUCGGCAAAAAUUCCGAACAUCCAUUCAUUCGUUCGUUCGUCUCGCGACGCCGCCGAGUUUAUUGGAUGCGAACGCCGCCUCGCGUGGAUCAAGCACGGGGAGGGGUGGUGGAGGGGGUGACCCAAUUCCUUCGCUGGAAGUCUCCGCUGGAAGAUGGCUGAAGAGGCCAAUCCGAGCCCGGCAUUCUCUGUGGCACACUGGACAGGUCAGGGAGGAUGAAGAGCUCUGAGGUGCAGCCACACGUCCUUCCUUGGUAGAUUUGCGCUGCUGCCUCUUCAAGAUAGCACAGGAGCUUCUCCUACUCUCACAGAGGACUGCAGCGUCCUGUACUUUUCUUCUCCAGGCAGGGCGGAACCGGAGGAGGACCCGGAGAAAACCCAACGCGGUCACCAUGUGGACAGCGAGAUCACGCGAACUUCAAAUAUACAACAGGCAUCGUCAGGGUCCGGAAUCAAACCCACGACCUCCUACGUAGCAGGCGAGCGAGAUAACAGCUCAUCACCAUCGCGUCUUGGGAGAGAGAUCCCGUUGCUGUUGAAGAGUCAAGAGACACAUUGAAGGGCGACUCACCUUCAGCUCAUCUCCUUGAUCGCCGAGCGCUGGACGCCACUCAAAUUCCC